AUGAAUUUAAGUUAUAUAUUUAUAAGUUAGGUUGAGUGAUCCCACAUUGAAAUAUGUAGGAUUCUUUAUAAUGCGUAGUACAUUAUAGAUAGUGAAGCUACAUUAUCCCACAUUGAAAAAUGUAGGAUUCUCUACCAUUUGUAAUACACUAUAAAUAGUGAAGCUACAUUAUCCCACAUUGAAAAAUGUAGGAUUUUCUACCAUGUGUAGUACACUAUAAAUAGUGAAACUACAUUUAGUUAAAAUUAUAAGGAUUUGAAUAUAAAAUUAAAGAAAAAAAAAUUGGUCGGACCCGGCGGUUCAGGGCCGAACCGGCGGGCCGGACCGGCGGUUCAGGGUUGGCAACCCUAUGAACCUUAACCGGCCCGGAUAACUGGCGGUUCGGCCCUGAACCGGCCCGUUGGUCAACGGUCCGGGCCGGAACCGUUGACCGGCGGGCCGGUUCAGGGUCGAACCGCCGGUUCCGGUCGGCCCUUGGCAACACUAAUU
rnacentral:lncRNA from 1 species